rnacentral:rRNA from 1 species
UACGUAGGGGGCAAGCGUUGUCCGGAAUUAUUGGGCGUAAAGCGCGCGCCAGGCGGUUCUUUAAGUCUGGUGUUUAAGUGCGGGGCUCAACCCCGUGACGCACUGGAAACUGGGGAACUUGAGUGCAGAAGAGGAGAGCGGAAUUCCUGUGUAGCGGUGAAAUGCGCAGAUAUCGGGAGGAACACCGGUGGCGAAGGCGGUUCGU